UAGCCGUAAACGAUACUCGCUAGGUGUCGGCCACGGUGCGACCGUUGUCGGUGCCGUAGGGAAGCCGUGAAGCGAGCCACCUGGGAAGUACGGCCGCAAGGCUGAAACUUAAAGGAAUUGGCGGGGGAGCACCACAACGGGUGGAGCUUGCGGUUUAAUUGGAUUCAACGCCGGAAAUCUUACCGGGACCGACAGCAACAUGAAGGCCCGGCUGAAGACUUUGCCGGAUUAGCUGAGAGGAGGUGCAUGGCGUAGUCGUGU
rnacentral:rRNA from 1 species